rnacentral:rRNA from 1 species
UACGUAGGGUGCGAGCGUUGUCCGGAAUUAUUGGGCGUAAAGGAGCUUGUAGGCGGUCUGUCGCGUCUGCUGUGAAAAUCCGGGGCUCAACCCCGGACUUGCAGUGGGUACGGGCAGACUAGAGUGUGGUAGGGGAGACGUGGAAUUCCUGGUGUAGCGGUGAAAUGCGCAGAUAUCAGGAGGAACACCGAUGGCGAAGGCAGGUCUCUGGGCCACUACUGACGCUGAGAAGCGAAAGCAUGGGGAGCGAACAGG